rnacentral:rRNA from 1 species
CGGACGGGUGAGUAACACGUGAGAAUUUGCCUUUAGGAGGGGGAUAACAAUUGGAAACGAAUGCUAAUACCCUAUAUGCUUUCGAGUGAAAUGGAUUUAUAUUUAUCCGCCUAGAGAGAAGCUCGCGGCUGAUUAGCUUGUUGGUAAGGUAAGAGCUUACCAAGGCGACGAUCAGUAUCUGGUUUGAGAGGACGAUCAGACACACUGGAACUGAGACACGGUCCAG